GGGACGAACGCUGGCGGCGUGCUUAACACAUGCAAGUCGAACGGUGAAGCCCUUCGGGGUGGAUCAGUGGCGAACGGGUGAGUAACACGUGAGCAAUCUGCCCUUGACUCUGGGAUAACUUCGGGAAACCGGAGCUAAUACCGGAUAUGACAUACGGCCGCAUGGUCUGUGUGUGGAAAGAUUUAUCGGUCAGGGAUGAGCUCGCGGCCUAUCAGCUUGUUGGUGGGUAAUGGCCCACCAAGGCGACGACGGGUA
rnacentral:rRNA from 1 species